rnacentral:lncRNA from 1 species
GAGGGUGGCAGAGCCCAGCCACCAGGGUCUGCUCCAUGCCUGGUCCCUGGAGAGGCCCUCACCCUCUCUGCUUUCACCCAACCCGACUGACACGGAGUAGGAGGUGGGAAUCAUGCAGGCAGGGAGCUUAGGAAGCCUGGUUCAAGAUUGCUUUGAAUGGCAGGCCCCCUGCUGUGCUCCUGGGGAGAGAGCCUGAAACCUGGAUGCUCGGGAGCCCCUCAGAUCCGUCAUCUGUCCCCGACACCCCUGUGAAUGGGCUGCAAAUGUAACAAACCCCCUGACCUUCAGUCUGAAGAGAGAGAACUAUCAACCACACAGAAGCAAAGAUCCAGAGAAAUACUGAGGGAUGCUACCAGACACUCAACCAGGGCCACUCUCCGAGAUUCCAGCCAGCCACACAGCAAAGAUGCUGGCCGGGGACACUGCCCCAAACCACCAGACAGAACCCCAAAGAAACAGCUCCACACACAGUGGAAGAUACACCAGAGACUGUUAGAAGGACCAUCAGACAAAGCCAAAGAGACAGGUAGAUGAAACCAGAUAACCAGCCAGAGAGGUGGUCAGAGAACAGCGACACAAUCAAAGGACCCACCAGAAACACUGUAAAGGACUCAGCUAGACCCAGGCAGAUACACUGCCGAAGGACGAGCAAGGAGCACAGGCAGUGAAGCCGUCGGCGACAAAGCCAGAGAGCUAAGACACUGUCAGAAACAGUGCCAGAGAAACCGUCUGACACACAAGCAGAGAAAUACCAGAGAAACUGAUAGACGCAAACAGGCGUACACCCAGAAAAACAGCUUGAGAGAAGAGCCAGAGCCACAGCCAGAUGCUCAGUCAGGAAGUAUCCACACCACUCCAAACACUGCCAGAGACACUGUCAGACACACAGUCAGACACACUGCCAGAGACACCGUUAUAAAGACUGCCAGAGAAACAGCCAGACACACAGCCAGAAAAACUGACAGAGACGCAGUGCCAGAUAUACCCCGAGAAAGUGCCAGAGACUCAGCUCCAGACAGUGCAGACAUAGCAUAACAGAGACAAAUGUGGGUAUCAGCCUGAAGCAGCUGCGGAGAGGCUGGAGAGCAAUGAACUUCCUGGGGCUUCCUGUGGGAGAGGGCUCCUGCCUGCCUUUUGCUACCCUUGACCCUCUCCAGGAAAGUCCCCUCCUCUGAGCCUGCUUUUCCUUUCCUCCCUGUCACAGCCACAGGUGCCCUGACUGCCCCUCCCUGGCACAGUAAAUCUCUCUGUGUCCUAA